rnacentral:lncRNA from 1 species
UUAUAUGGCUUUUAACCAAUAAACUUGCAACUUUUCUGUUUGAAAGGGUAUUUGCGCAUACGUUUCUCUUGCGAAUAAAUUCAAGAAUCAAGCCUCUGAGCCACUUUAGCUAUAGCACGGCUCAUUGUGUCAAGCAUUGGCUGCCGGUUCGAGCGGCUUAGCGCUACUUUCGGUGCGCUCUUAUUUGUUCAAUUUAAAAAAUUAUUAUUUUGGCUAUUAUUGGAGAUAUCCAAAAACUAUAGUAGAUUUUUAUGUUCACCUUAAUCUCGUCUAUCUUUCUAUUAAGUAUUGCAUACAUUAUACGAGACACCGUGUAUAUAGGGCGUUUUCUGUAAAUGGAGACCUCUCUCCCCAGAAUAUACUUCAAUAUUAAAAAAGCAGCAAGUGCGCAAAUUAUAGCUAAAAACGUCUAUUUUUAAAUGCCGUUUGGUAUUUUUUGAAAAAUUUAGUACAAGAUACCAAUAUGGUCAAAUUGAGACUAUUUUCCCUCAUUUAUGAACAGAAUAUUUGAACAAAAUAUCAAGACACAAUAUAUAGACUUUAAAAUGCGUUUUCAGAGUAGCUGAAAAUUUCUAGAUACUCAUUUUAGUUAAAAUAUUAUUUUUUGAUACUUCGAUCAAAUAUUCUGCGUGUAACUCACUGAUUUUAGUUAUAAUUUGUUCGAAACUGAUAAACAAUUAUUGCAAACGUAUAAUACUACAAAUUUAAAAAUUAGAAAUUUUCGAGCUAACUACAAAGGGUUUUAAAAUACAGAUUAUCAUAAUUUAAGUCAACAUUAUGUAGAAAAAAUGGAAGUCGAGUGUGAAUAUUGUAGAGGGAAACAUUUUCACGCUGAAAAAGUUCACAAUAAAGAUAACUCAUUCAAAGAUAGUUGUAAUCAUGGAAAAGUUAUAUUGGAACCUUUACCAACAUUUUUUAAUGAACUACAACAAUUAUUUUUGGGAAAUCAUAAAAAAUCUAAUGAGUUUUUUAAAAACCUAAGAAGUUACAAUGGUGCAUUUUCUUUUGCAUCUUUUAAUGCUAAUUUGGUUAAUUUUAAUGCAUAAAAACGAGGACCUUAUUGUUUCAAAAUUCAAGGUUAAAUUUAUUACCAAAUUAAUACUGCAUUAUAUCCUGCUAUAAAUGAGCAAUCAAGUUAUGGACAGCUUUUUAUUCUUGACGCUAACGAAGCUACAGAAUGCCGUUUAAAUGUAAAUACAAAUCUUCAUGAAGAGUUAUUGCGUACAUUAGAUGACAUUAUUCGUAAUAAUAAUAUAUUUGCUCAAUCAUAUCAAAUGAUGCACGAAGAAGUACUUAAUCAAAAAAGUUUAGGUUUAAAUAUACCUAAUUUAAAAAUAGGAUUUUUAAAUAAAAAAACAGGCAUUGAUCGUGGAAGAUAUAAUGUUCAAAAAAUUAAUAAAGUUGCUGCAAUAUUUUCAACUACUGCAGAUGGAAAUAUUCCUGAUUGUUAUGUUACAAUUAGAAACAAAUGUGAUAAAACUUUAAAAUACGUUAGUAUGGAUCCAAACGUUGAACCUUGGAUUUAUCCAAUGUAUUAUCCAUAUGGUACACAAGGUUGGCAUGAUAAUAUUAAACAAAUCGGAUGGAAAACGUGUAACUAGAUCCAUGUAUGUUCAAUACCGAAUGGCUGUAUGUAAUAAUGUCAAUGUUUUUUUAAUAGGUAAACGGCUAUUUCAACAAUGGCUUGUUGAUAGCUAUGUAAAAAUAGAAAAAGAUAGAAUUAAUUGGUGUAAAGAAAAUCAAAAACAUUUGAGAGUGGAAAAGCACCAAGGACUGAUUGACUAUUUAGAAAAAAGUGGCUGAUACUAAUGUUUAUAUUGGACGUGUAAUAAUACUUCCUUCUACAUUUAUUGGUUCACCUAGAAAUAUGAUGCAAAAUUAUCAAGAUGCGAUGACUAUUGUUCGCAAAUAUGAAACGCGGUUUGCCGCACAUACAUAUGUUAAUAACUAUGAAACAAAAUUGCAAAAUUACUAAUUUGGAAACUGUUGAUAAAUAUAUUUCUGCUGAAAUUCCCGAUCCUGCUAUUGAUAAAAAUUUACAUGAAAUUGUCAUGAAGAAUAUGAUUCAUGGACCAUAUGGUGAUUGGUGUAUGAUAAAUGGAAAAUGUUCAAAAUAUUUUCCAAAAUCCUUUCACGAGGAAACAACUAUGGAUGAAAAUGGUUAUCCACAAUAUCGUCGAAGAGACACUGGCAUUUUGUAUGAGAAACCCGAAGAAUUUGUAGUAGAUAAUCGGUUUGUUCCUUAUUGUCCCAUAUUAUCACAAUUUUUAAUUGUCAUAUUAAUGUUGAAGUUGUUUCAAGUAUUAAGUCAGUAAAGUAUUUAUACAAAUAUAUUUACAAAGGUCACGAUGCAGCAUCUGUAGUUAUAGAACAAGAUGUGAAUAAUGUAGAAAUUGUUCAUGACGAAAUCAAAGAUUUUAUUGAAGCACGCUAUGUAGGACCAGUUGAAGCUUACUGGCGUUUAUAGGUAAAACAUUACAAGAGAAGAGUCAUGCUAUUAUUCGUCUAUCUGUACAUUUGCCAAAUGAACAGAAUGUUAUUAUAUCUAAUAAAUCAAAUUAACAAGAUUUACAAUCUGCUUUAGAUCGUAUAACAAUGUUAAUGGAUUAUUUUAAAUAAAAUAAACGAAAUGUUGAUGCACGUCAGUAUGUAUAUACAGAUAUACCUUUAUAUUUUGUAUUUAAAAAGGUAACAUUUAACGGAAAACAAAUUUAUCGUUGGAAAAAACGUCAAUGUCAUUUUAACUAUAUUGGACGCAUGUACUCAGUUAGCCCAACUAAAAUCGAAUUAUUUCAUUUACGUAUUCUUUUAUUGAAUGUCAAAGGAGCAACAUGCUAUAAUGACUUAAAAACAGUCAAUGGUGAAUUACAUCAAACGUUUACUUCUUCAUGUUUAGCUUUAGGCUUAAUUAAAGAUAAUGAAGAAUGGAAACGUGCAAUGAACGAAGCUUCUAUUUGGAUGAUGCCAAGACAACUUAGGUUACUUUUGUUCAAAUAUUAAUACAUUGCCAACCAGGGCAUUCAAAAGAAUUGUGGGAUGAAUUUCAAGUUGCAAUGUCAGAAGAUUAUAUACGACAAUUUGAACGAGUCACUGGGAUAAGAAAGGCUUAUAUUCAAAUUGGUCAAUUACUUUGCAAAGAAAAUUGGGAACUUUCACAAUUUCCAGAAAUGGAACAAAUAACGAUUGAAUAUGAAAAAGAACAUGCCAAACAAUUGGAAAAAAAA